rnacentral:rRNA from 1 species
GAUGAACGCUGGCGGCGUGCCUAAUACAUGCAAGUCGAGCGAACGGACGAGAAGCUUGCUUCUCUGAUGUUAGCGGCGGACGGGUGAGUAACACGUGGAUAACCUACCUAUAAGACUGGGAUAACUUCGGGAAACCGGAGCUAAUACCGGAUAAUAUUUUGAACCGCAUGGUUCAAAAGUGAAAGACGGUCUUGCUGUCACUUAUAGAUGGAUCCGCGCUGCAUUAGCUAGUUGGUAAGGUAACGGCUUACCAAGGCAACGAUGCAUAGCCGACCUGAGAGGGUGAUCGGCCACACUGGAACUGAGACACGGUCCAGACUCCUACGGGAGGCAGCAGUAGGGAAUCUUCCGCAAUGGGCGAAAGCCUGACGGAGCAACGCCGCGUGAGUGAUGAAGGUCUUCGGAUCGUAAAACUCUGUUAUUAGGGAAGAACAAUUGUGUAAGUAACUGUGCACAUCUUGACGGUACCUAAUCAGAAAGCCACGGCUAACUACGUG